GAAAUGCGAUAAGAGAUGUGAAUUGCAGUGAAUCAUCGAAUUUUUGAACGCAAAUUGCACACUCUGGUAAUCCGGAGUGUAUACCUUUUUGAGUGUCAUAUAAUAAUUAUCGAUAUAUCUUCGGAAUUGAGCUAUCUAUGCUUAAGUAGUAGCUUAAAAUUAGGAAAUGAUUAUAAUGUUUUUUUACGAGAUAUCCCUGAUCAUUAUCUGUGACUAAAAAUACGCACGUAAGAUCCUACUCCCUUUUCAUGUUUAUAUAUAAAAUUCGACCUCAAGUCAGGUAGGAAUACCCGCUGGACUUGA
rnacentral:misc_RNA from 1 species